CCCUUUAACCAAAUGGCCAUGAGCAUAGCCCCUGUAGUUACAACACGUUUGUUAUCAUAUACUUUACAGCUAUUGGCCGGUAUGUACUGUAUCUUAUUCAUACGCUUACCUAUUUGACUGUCUUUUAUGGCUUUCGAUUUGACCCCUUGGACAAAGGCAUGGAUCUCUUCAUCGGAUGUCCUGACUGACCUUUGACCCUCUCUCCACGGUUCAAUGUGAUCUCACCCUCGCCCUGUGGGGAGUGGGAGCUGACGGCAAUGAAGGUACGGCCGGGCACCGCACUGUAGAGCCGUCGCUUUGGCCCCCGAGAAACAGCAGGAGGACUCGGCUCUCUUUGGACGGGACUUCCAGGGCUGAAGGAUGCAAAAGUGAUUGGUGACAGUCAACAUCAACUUUUAUGUUUGACAGCAUAGAUGUAAAAUACGUUUUAGAUCAAAUAAAAUAAAAUGUAUACCAAUAUAA